AGUGAACGCUGGCGGUAGGCCUAACACAUGCAAGUCGAACGGCAGCACAGUAAGAGCUUGCUCUUACGGGUGGCGAGUGGCGGACGGGUGAGGAAUACAUCGGAAUCUACUUUUUCGUGGGGGAUAACGUAGGGAAACUUACGCUAAUGCCGCAUACGACCUACGGGUGAAAGCAGGGGAUCUUCGGACCUUGCGCGAUUGAAUGAGCCGAUGUCGGAUUAGCUAGUUGGCGGGGUAAAGGCCCACCAAGGCGACGAUCCGUAGCUGGUCUGAGAGGAUGAUCAGCCACACUGGAACUGAGACACGGUCCAGACUCCUACGGGAGGCAGCAGUGGGGAAUAUUGGACAAUGGGCGCAAGCCUGAUCCAGCCAUACCGCGUGGGUGAAGAAGGCCUUCGGGUUGUAAAGCCCUUUUGUUGGGAAAGAAAAGCAGCAGGUUAACACCCCGCUGUUCUGACGGUACCCAAAGAAUAAGCACCGGCUAACUUCGUG
rnacentral:rRNA from 1 species